UAAUACGUACUGUGCGAACGUUAUUCGGAAUCACUGGGCUUAAAGGGUGCGUAGGCGGUCAGAUAAGUAGGAUGUGAAAUCCCCCGGCCUAACCGAGGAACUGCGUUCUAAACUGUCUGACUUGAGUGAGAUAGAGGUGUGCAGAACUUCUAGUGGAGCGGUGAAAUGUGUUGAUAUUAGAAGGAACGCCGGUGGCGAAAGCGGCACACUGGGUCUCAACUGACGCUGAGGCACGAAAGCUAGGGUAGCGAACGGGAUUAGAUACCCCGGUAGUCCUAGCUGUAAACGAUGAGUACUAGACGGGAGGGGCUUCGGCCUUUCCCGUUGCAGCGAAAGCAUUAAGUACUCCGCCUGGGGAGUAUGGUCGCAAGGCUG
rnacentral:rRNA from 1 species